rnacentral:rRNA from 2 species
CGUAGUCCGGAUUGGAGUCUGCAACUCGACUCCAUGAAGUCGGAAUCGCUAGUAAUCGUAGAUCAGAAUGCUACGGUGAAUACGUUCCCGGGCCUUGUACACACCGCCCGUCACACCAUGGGAGUGGGUUGCAAAAGAAGUAGGUAGCUUAACCUUCGGGAGGGCGCUUACCACUUUGUGAUUCAUGACUGGGGUGAAGUCGUAACAAGGUAACCGUAGGGGAACCUGCGGUUGGAUCACCUCCUUA